GCCCGGAUGGCGAAAUCGGUAGACGCAGCGGACUUAAAAUCCGCCGGGGGCAACUCCUUGCCGGUUCGAGUCCGGCUCCGGGCACCA
rnacentral:tRNA from 1 species